CGGUGGUUCACGCCUGUAAUCCCAGCACUUUCGGAGGCUGAGACGGAUGGAUCACAAGGUCAGGAGAUCGAGACCAUCCUGGCUAACACGGUGAAACCCCGUCUCUACGAAGAAUACAAAAAAUUAGCUGGGCAUGGUGGCGGGUGCCUGUAAUCCCAGCUACUUGGGAGGCUGAGGCAGGAGAAUGGUGUGAACCUGGGAAGUGGAGCUUGCAGUGAGCCAAGAUCGUGCCACUGCACUGCAGCCCAGGCGAGACAGUGAGACUCCGUCUCAAAAAAAAAAAAAGAGAGAGAAGGAGAUUACAAAGGUGGUCCUGACCUUUGAUAAAUCUCAUUAUUGCUUGAUACCAACCUGGGCUAUCUUUAUUGCCCAAACCAAUAGGAUAAUGUGCUGAGGUUAGGGAGCUUCUCCCCUGCAGAGAAUCCCUGAUCUCCCAAAAUUUGGUUGAUAUCUAAGGUUGAUUGCCAUACAACUCCUUUUCUGAAGUUUUUCUUAUUUCCAACAAGGCAAGUUUUCCUGCUUCCAUGAUGAUGGAGAGCAGGCACCUCCUUUCUUGAGUUUCAGCUUGCUUCUGACAGGGAAGGUGAGUGUAAGUUUUUUCCAGCUUCUAAGAUGGCAGAGAACAAGCACCAGCCUGAGACUUAUUUCCAGCAGAGCUGGAAGCUGUAUCUUCAAAAUAUGUCUGUUUGACUCAAAACAAUCAAGGUAUUCAACAGGAGUUAUUAUGUAUGAAAAAAUACAACAGGAAUGUAAAAAACUAGAGGAGGCUAAAAUGAUGUUGGAAGAAGUAAUAUUAAAUCUUAAAAAACGUAUGGAAAGUACACAUUGGUGAAGUACAAAAGUAUAAAUUGGAUCUAGAAGAAAGGGCAAUGCAGGCAAUGGAAAAAUUAGUACAAAUCCCUUUACAGUAAUGAUUCUCAGUGUGGAGUCAUUUAAUUAUUAAGACCCAUUGACAUGAGAUUACAUCCUCUGCCUAUAAAAAUCCUGGAAGAAAACCUAGGAAAUAUUCAUCUGGACAUUGCACUUGGCAAUGAAUUUAUGGAUAGAAAAUGCAGUUGAAAGAUAUUUCAUAAAGGAAGAAAAAGUAAGAAUACAGGUGAGAGAUAUUACUGAGAUUUUCUUUCAGUGCAAUUCUGGUCUUUUCUGACUAGCAAUAUUUUUAUGUGCAGAAGUACUAGAAAAGAUAAAUAUUUUGUACAGUAGAAAAACACAUCAUUUCUGUGCCAUGGAAGAGAGAACUCACAAAGAUGACAGCUUCUGGAUAUCUUGGAUACUAACCAGUACUGUAAGUACCCAGCGAUCUGACAUUAACAUUGGCUGUAAAGCUCCUUUAAUGUCCCUUGCAAUGAUUUGAACCUGUUACUGGAACCCUCAUCGCUUAUUGAGUUGAAAAACAUUGUUGAUAUGUGUUUAUCUUAUAUUUGCAGUAGAGUCAUAAUUUUACUUCUUAGAAAAUUAUGCAUUAAACAAAAAAAGACAAAUGAAAUUCUAUAUUGUUUAAUGUUUCAACUGUGAUAAUUACUCCAUAUGCAUAUUUAAAUUCCUAUUUGAUAAAGGAUAGGAAAUACAGAAAGAAUUCUUG
rnacentral:lncRNA from 1 species